rnacentral:lncRNA from 1 species
AUAUUAGCAAUUUUCUCUAGCCAUUUGCCCCUCCCACACACCCAGACAAGAAUUUUAUUAACAUGACAGCAAGGGGUCAUUCUUGAAAUUUACAGCAAACAUGCUUCAGACAAAUCAAAGAUGGCCAUUAAAUCCUAGUGUCACUAAAUAUCAGGAUACCAGCCCUGUAAUAACUAUGUCAUGCACAUGCUCAGUGGCAUUGUUUUUCUGAGCAGCACCUUAGAUUGCAAUCUAUAGGCAGUAUGAUAAAAAGAGAUGUUACACACCUUUCUUUGCCCACCCCAGGAAGCAAAAGGGUAGCAAUCCUCCUUACAUCAUCAUCAUUGGUAAUAUUAGUCAAUAUCCAAUACGGCUAAUCCAGGAUCUGGCAAUGUGAUCUUAAAUCUUCAUUACACAGACUAAACUUUCCUAUGGGCCGAAACACUCAGGGUCAGCAGCGUGGUAAGAGCAGGGGGUAAAGAGGCACAACUGGGCCUCUACUACAUGUGCUCUGCUGGAGCAGCAAGAUGUGCCCUAAUGAUAUUUUUCAUAAUCGGAUCUGUGCAAUGUAUUAUCAAGGUGCAGAAGCCCUGAUGGUCCUCUCAGAGAACAUUUUUGGUUUCAAGUCUACCAACAUAUAUGAAAAGGACCUAAUGAACAGCCACCCAACUGCAAGACUCCCUUUGUGCUAGGCAAUGGAUAAACAUAUAGCGGGCUUGUGACCAGUCAGAACUUGGCAUGUGGAUGAUCUGUUUUCCCAUCUAUUUUUUCCUCUUCCAAGGAAAGUCCCAUGCAAAGAGGCCCUAAGACUCAGAUAAGUACCCCUUUUAUGAUCAUGCCCUUCAACUAGUUAUCAUAGGCCUGAUUUUUACCAGCACUGAGUCCCCAAGGCUUCUGGUU